UACGUAGGGGGCAAGCGUUGUCCGGAUUUAUUGGGCGUAAAGAGCGUGUAGGCGGCCAUACAGGUCAGCUGUGGAAAACUCGAGGCUCAACCUCGAGACGUCGGUUGAAACCGUAUGGCUAGAGUCCGGAAGAGGAGAGUGGAAUUCCCGGUGAUAGCGGUGAAAUGACGCAGAUAUCGGGAAGAACACCCGUGGCGAAGGCGGCUCUCUGGGACGGUACUGGACGGCUGAGACGCGAAAAGCGUGGGGAGCAAACAGGG
rnacentral:rRNA from 1 species